rnacentral:rRNA from 1 species
CCUACGGGUGGCAGCAGUAGGGAAUAUUGCUCAAUGGGGGAAACCCUGAAGCAGCAACGCCGCGUGGAGGAUGAAGGUUUUCGGAUUGUAAACUCCUUUUGUUAGAGAAGAUAAUGACGGUAUCUAACGAAUAAGCACCGGCUCACUCCGUGCCAGCAGCCGCGGUAAUACGGAGGGUGCAAGCGUUACUCGGAAUCACUGGGCGUAAAGAGCGAGUAGGCGGGAUAGCAAGUCAGAUGUGAAAUCCUAUGGCUUAACCAUAGAACUGCAUUUGAAACUGGUAUUCUAGAGUAUGGGAGAGGUAGGUGGAAUUCUUGGUGUAGGGGUGAAAUGCGUAGAGAUCAAGAGGAAUACUCAUUGCGAAGGCGACCUGCUAGAACAUAACUGACGCUGAUGCGCGAAAGCGUGGGGAGCAAACAGGAUUAGAUACCCUUGUAGUC